rnacentral:rRNA from 1 species
UACGAAGGGGGCUAGCGUUGUUCGGAAUUACUGGGCGUAAAGCGCGCGUAGGCGGACUGAUAAGUCAGGGGUGAAAUCCCGGGGCUCAACCCCGGAACUGCCUUUGAUACUGUCGGUCUCGAGUUCGAGAGAGGUGAGCGGAAUUCCGAGUGUAGAGGUGAAAUUCGUAGAUAUUCGGAGGAACAACAGAAGCGAAGGCGGCUCUCUGGACCGCUACUGACGCUGAGGCGCGACAGCGUGGGGAGCAAACAGG